rnacentral:rRNA from 1 species
UGGGGAAUUUUGGACAAUGGGCGCAAGCCUGAUCCAGCCAUGCCGCGUGCAGGAUGAAGGCCUUCGGGUUGUAAACUGCUUUUGUACGGAACGAAAAGGUGCCUUCUAAUAAAGGGCGCUCAUGACGGUACCGUAAGAAUAAGCACCGGCUAACUACGUGCCAGCAGCCGCGGUAAUACGUAGGGUGCGAGCGUUAAUCGGAAUUACUGGGCGUAAAGCGUGCGCAGGCGGUCUUGCAAGACAGUGGUGAAAUCCCCGGGCUCAACCUGGGAACUGCCAUUGUGACUGCAAGGCUGGAGUACGGCAGAGGGGGAUGGAAUUCCGCGUGUAGCAGUGAAAUGCGUAGAUAUGCGGAGGAACACCGAUGGCGAAGGCAGUCCCCUGGGCCUGUACUGACGCUCAUGCACGAAAGCGUGGGGAGCAAACA